rnacentral:rRNA from 1 species
UACGGAGGAUCCAAGCGUUAUCCGGAAUCAUUGGGUUUAAAGGGUCCGUAGGCGGUUUUGUAAGUCAGUGGUGAAAGCCCAUCGCUCAACGGUGGAACGGCCAUUGAUACUGCAAGACUUGAAUUAUUAGGAAGUAACUAGAAUAUGUAGUGUAGCGGUGAAAUGCUUAGAUAUUACAUGGAAUACCAAUUGCGAAGGCAGGUUACUACUAAUAUAUUGACGCUGAUGGACGAAAGCGUGGGGAGCGAACAGG